AACAAGGCUUCUGUCUGCAGGGGAAAGACUAUGGACAGUUCGGGCUGCAGAGACUAGGUAGGUAGGAUUUAGAACAAGGCUUCUGUCUGCAGGGGAAAGACCAUGGACAGUUCGGGCUGCAGAGACUAGGUAGGUAGGAUUUAGAACAAGGCUUCUGUCUGCAGGGGAAAGACUAUGGACAGUUCGGGCUGCAGAGACUAGGUAGGUAGGAUUUAGAACAAGGCUUCUGUCUGCAGGGGAAAGACUAUGGACAGUUCGGGCUGCAGAGACCAGGUAGGUAGGAUUUAGAACAAGGCUUCUGUCUGCAGGGGAAAGACUAUGGACAGUUCGGGCUGCAGAGACCAGGUAGGUAGGAUUUAGAACAAGGCUUCGUACAGGGGAAAGACUAUGGACAGUUCGGGCUGCAGAGACCAGGUAGGUAGGAUUUAGAACAAGGCUUCGUACAGGGGAAAGACUAUGGACAGUUCGGGCUGCAGAGACUAGGUAGGUAGGAUUUAGAACAAGGCUUCUGUCUGCAGGGGAAAGACUAUGGACAGUUCGGGCUGCAGAGACUAGGUAUGAAGGUGAGAGAGAUCAACAUCACCACUGCAGGUCCUCCUCAUGUCUCCAACAGCAGCUCUAUGGUCAUAGCCAUCCUGGUACCUUUCUUUGGCCUCGUGUUGGCAGGCCUGGGAUUCUAUCUCUACAAACAACGGAAAACAGAUCAGACCCAGUACACUGGCUGUUCAGUCCACGAGAACAACAACGGCCAGGCGACGUAUGAGAACCCCAUGUACGACACCAACACCAAGUCUGCGGAGGGGAAAGUGGUUCGCUUCGACCCCAACCUCAACACCGUAUGCACUGUGGUUUGAAGAUGUGUGUGUGCCAAACGCACCGGGGUUUGACGAUGCUUUUGCCCAACAGGAAAGCUUGUUCAGAAAUGCAGCACUGGUUUGAUGCAACACUACACUGUGGUUUAUUGAUGCUGUCUGACGAACGGAAUUGCCUGAGAGUUCUUUUGGUUUAAAAAAAUAAAAUGGAUAUCUUGUCUUUUAUAAUAUCUCUCUGCAACGAGUUUCUGAAGACGGCACAGCACAGCCUCGGGAAACAGGAAGGCACAGCACAGCCUCGGGAAACAGGAAGGCAAAGCACACCUUCAGGAACAACAGUUGUGUGUGUUGUGGAUGAUGGACGAGGUGAGUCAGCAAGCAGAAUGGGACGGUCCUCUUUUUAAAAUACAUCUUCACCUGAUGGGUGAAGUUAUUCCUACCUGCACUCUGAGAGUGAUGCUAUGUGAAUAAUGCCUUUCCUGACAUGUUGGUACGCAAGAGUCGUUUACGCUCCAGUCAACGUAAACAAUGGAGCGUUGCUAAGGCAACAGUCAACGCAAACAAUGGAGCGUCGUUAAGGCAACAGUCAACGCAAACAAUGGAGCGUCGUUAAGGCAACAGUCAACGCAAACAAUGGAGCGUUGUUAAGGCAACAGUCAACGCAAACAAUGGAGCGUUGUUAAGGCAACAGUCAACGCAAACAAUGGAGCGUCGUUAAGGCAACCAAAUGGAACCCUAGUCUUUUCCGGAUGGAAGUUAUCAGACCUGGGUUCAAAUAUUAUUCAAAUUCCUUUAGCCUUUGCUCUAGUCUGCCCCAGAAGGGUGGAGGGGGUUGGUCCUUUUGCGAUUAUUCUAUUUGGUUCAAUUGCGACAAGUAAAAGCUCAAUAAAUCCCAAAUACUGUAAAAUAUUUUAAAUGAUAUCGAUCGAUUGAGUUGAUGUUAUAGGACAUAUUUUAAAUACAUAUAGAGUUGACUAAUUCGUCUGAUCACAACAAUACAAUACAUAUGUAUCAAAUCUUACUUGAACCCAGGUCUGUCUGCUAGUUCCCCCCCCCCCAGUAGUCGUAGCAGUAGUAGUAGUAGUAGUAGUAGUAGUCGUAGUAUAUAUCCACUCUCUCCGCAUGGCUCGGUUUAAUUCCCCUGGAUCUGAUUUAAGAACGUAUCUCAGACUUAAGGCCUCAAUCAGAUCAAGCAUUAUCCGGCGAUACCAGACACCCACGUAGCUGAUGUUUUAGCGAUGUCGGAGGUUGGAGCUGUCAAAUCGCCGAGCAGCUGCUCUCGUGAUCAUUGUCCUCGAAGCUACACCCUGCCCCCCCCA